AGUGAACGCUGGCGGUAGGCCUAACACAUGCAAGUCGAACGGCAGCACAGUAAGAGCUUGCUCUUACGGGUGGCGAGUGGCGGACGGGUGAGGAAUACAUCGGAAUCUACUUUUUCGUGGGGGAUAACGUAGGGAAACUUACGCUAAUACAGCAUACGACCUACGGGUGAAAGGAGAGGAUCUUCGGACCUUGCGCGAAUGAAUGAGCCGAUGUCGGAUUAGCUAGUUGGCGGGGUAAAGGCCCACCAAGGCGACGAUCCGUAGCUGGUCUGAGAGGAUGAUCAGCCACACUGGAGCUGAGACACGGUCCAGACUCCUACGGGAGGCAGCAGUGGGGAAUAUUGGACAAUGGGCGCAAGCCUGAUCCAGCGAUACCGCGUGGGUGAAGAAGGCCUUCGGGUUGUAAAGCCCUUUUGUUGGGAAAGAAAAGCAGCAGGUUAAUACCCCGCUGUUCUGACGGUACCCAAAGAAUAAGCACCGGCUAACUUCGUG
rnacentral:rRNA from 1 species